rnacentral:lncRNA from 10 species
GAAACCAAUAAGAUCCUGGAUAGGUCCAGGCACUAAAGCAUCCUUCAGAGUUGAUGCUUCCUGGUGGCUGAGUUCCUAUUGGAACCCCGCUUUUUUGCUAGCAAAUAUUGCAGCUACGCAUACAUCCCUGGGAACUAACAUUUACUGAGUGCCUUCUACGUGACAAAGCCAGUUCUCCGCUAGAUCACUGUCCCCAAACCUGGACACUUCUCAGACCGAGCCAAAUUCUCAGCCCCGGAAAUUUUACAAAGAACCUACCUUACUUUAGGUAGCCUAUUGAAUUUAAUCACCACCAG